rnacentral:rRNA from 1 species
AUACGGAGGGUGCAAGCGUUGUUCGGAAUCACUGGGCGUAAAGGGCGCGCAGGCGGUUUGGUAAGUCAGAUGUGAAAGCCCACGGCUCAACCGUGGAAGUGCAUUUGAAACUGCCAGACUUGAGUACCAGAGGGGAAAGUGGAAUUCCCGGUGUAGAGGUGAAAUUCGUAGAUAUCGGGAGGAAUACCGGUGGCGAAGGCGACUUUCUGGCUGGAUACUGACGCUGAGGCGCGAAAGCGUGGGGAGCAAACAGGAGUAGAAACCCUAGUAGUCC